rnacentral:rRNA from 1 species
AUGAUUCCGUCUACCCUUGCCGAGUGCGACGGCUACAACGAGGCCUUCCUCCUCGAACUGCGGUGCCACAUCACCAACCGUCCCAACGCCACCACCGCCUGGGGCGCCACGAGCAGCCGCGUGCCGAUCCAGGUGACCUUCCACGCCACCCAACCGCCGCUCCCCUCCUACCUGUGCGUCCACUGUCCCGGCCUCGACUUCCACCGGUCUGCGCCCCGGGUCGUCGCCACCGACGCGGACCUCGUGCUCCUCCGCAUCCCCAUCAACCCCAACGCGCCCGACGACGUAAAGUCGUGGGACUUCUUCUUAUACAGGCCGCGAGCCCAUAAGCUGAACCUGCUCCCCAACCCGCACCCCAGAAGUUUCCACGACUCCGCAACCGCCCUCCUCAGCCGCGAUAGCGGUGCCUGGUACGCCGUCGCCGCCAUCAGCAAUUGGUCCCCGGUGUAUAGCAGCAGCGACGCGCCCAUUAUCAGGUGGGAAUUCCAGCUCCACCUAUACCGCUCCUAUUCGUGCGACUCCGAGGCUUGGAUCACCAUGCCCAUGUCAGUGGACGAGCUUGUGAGGGACAAGCUCGUCCCACUGCCGGACAGCCCGGUCUGCAAGAAGCGGUACCACGAGACGGCCAAGACGAUCACGCUCGGCGGCGAGCGCGGCACGGUCGCCUGGGUGGACCUCUGGCGCGGCAUCCUCCUCUGCGACGUGCUCGUGGAGCGUCCGGUGAUAGUCCAAGACAUCCCGCUGCCCGUGCCAGCAAGGGAAAACUGGGGUCGUCUCCUUUGGCAAUUGGAUCCAAACUAUAUCCGGGACGUCGCCAUGAGUAGACACAAGGAUACCAUCAAGUACAUUGAGAUGGAGAUCUGGACACCAAGAAUGCUGCAUAAGGACCCUGAUUCCUAUCUGGAUUGGGUGCGAUGUAAGCCGAGCGUCUCCCAGGUCACCCCUGGUGGCUGGAAGGCCAAAACAUGGAGCUUGGCAAUACCGCCGGUCGGUGCCGGUUCAUUGGCAGACUGGCAGCCUGACUUGGAAAUUGGAGUCGAACAUUGCAACAUUGAUGACGAUGACCUACUGAGCGACAGCGACAGCGGCAGUGACGCCACGCUGAGAUUAGAGAAACUUCGUAGACCCACCAUAAGCAUAUAUGACAGCCAUAUUGUCUACUUCAUCUCUAGCAUCAAACCUGAAGGCAUGGAAAAAUUGGAGAUGCUGAUUGCUGUCAAUGUGAGGAACAAAAUCCUGCUAGGAGUUGCACAACGUGCUGCCCAGAAGAACAUCAAUCCCAUGCCCGCCUUCCUCACCAGUGAGAUCUGCACAUAUCUAAGCAAGAGUGCAGGUAACGGACUUUUGUUUUGUGUACUGCUACCCUGCUCGACUGCGUGUUUUUGUGUGUGGCUAACUGGCUAUCCCUAUGAAUGUUCAGCUCUAUGUCAGCUGGUUAAACGUGUCCUGUGGUAA